GAGGGAUCAUUACCGAGUUUACAACUCCCAAACCCAAUGUGAACCAUACCAAACUGUUGCCUCGGCGGGGUCACGCCCCGGGUGCGUCGCAGCCCCGGAACCAGGCGCCCGCCGGAGGGACCAACCAAACUCUUUUCUGUAGUCCCCUCGCGGACGUUAUUUCUUACAGCUCUGAGCAAAAAUUCAAAAUGAAUCAAAACUUUCAACAACGGAUCUCUUGGUUCUGGCAUCGAUGAAGAACGCAGCGAAAUGCGAUAAGUAAUGUGAAUUGCAGAAUUCAGUGAAUCAUCGAAUCUUUGAACGCACAUUGCGCCCGCCAGUAUUCUGGCGGGCAUGCCUGUCCGAGCGUCAUUUCAACCCUCGAACCCCUCCGGGGGGUCGGCGUUGGGGACCUCGGGAGCCCCUAAGACGGGAUCCCGGCCCCGAAAUACAGUGGCGGUCUCGCCGCAGCCUCUCCUGCGCAGUAGUUUGCACAACUCGCACCGGGAGCGCGGCGCGUCCACGUCCGUAAAACACCCAACUUUCUGAAAUGUUGACCUCGGAUCAGGUAGGAAUACCCGCUGAACUUAAGCAUAUC
rnacentral:rRNA from 1 species